GGGACACGUGGUAUCCUGUCUGAAUAUGGGGGGACCAUCCUCCAAGGCUAAAUACUCCUGACUGACCGAUAGUGAACCAGUACCGUGAGGGAAAGGCGAAAAGAACCCCGGCGAGGGGAGUGAAAAAGAACCUGAAACCGUGUACGUACAAGCAGUGGGAGCCUCUUUAUGGGGUGACUGCGUACCUUUUGUAUAAUGGGUCAGCGACUUAUAUUCUGUAGCAAGGUUAACCGAAUAGGGGAGCCGAAGGGAAACCGAGUCUUAACUGGGCGUUAAGUUGCAGGGUAUAGACCCGAAACCCGGUGAUCUAGCCAUGGGCAGGUUGAAGGUUGGGUAACACUAACUGGAGGACCGAACCGACUAAUGUUGAAAAAUUAGCGGAUGACUUGUGGCUGGGGGUGAAAGGCCAAUCAAACCGGGAGAUAGCUGGUUCUCCCCGAAAGCUAUUUAGGUAGCGCCUCGUGAAUUCAUCUCCGGGGGUAGAGCACUGUUUCGGCAAGGGGGUCAUCCCGACUUACCAACCCGAUGCAAACUGCGAAUACCGGAGAAUGUUAUCACGGGAGACACACGGCGGGUGCUAACGUCCGUCGUGAAGAGGGAAACAACCCAGACCGCCAGCUAAGGUCCCAAAGUCAUGGUUAAGUGGGAAACGAUGUGGGAAGGCCCAGACAGCCAGGAUGUUGGCUUAGAAGCAGCCAUCAUUUAAAGAAAGCGUAAUAGCUCACUGGUCGAGUCGGCCUGCGCGGAAGAUGUAACGGGGCUAAACCAUGCACCGAAGCUGCGGCAGCGACACUAUGUGUUGUUGGGUAGGGGAGCGUUCUGUAAGCCUGCGAAGGUGGCCUGUGAGGGUUGCUGGAGGUAUCAGAAGUGCGAAUGCUGACAUAAGUAACGAUAAAGCGGGUGAAAAGCCCGCUCGCCGGAAGACCAAGGGUUCCUGUCCAACGUUAAUCGGGGCAGGGUGAGUCGACCCCUAAGGCGAGGCCGAAAGGCGUAGUCGAUGGGAAACAGGUUAAUAUUCCUGUACUUGGUGUUACUGCGAAGGGGGGACGGAGAAGGCUAUGUUGGCCGGGCGACGGUUGUCCCGGUUUAAGCGUGUAGGCUGGUUUUCCAGGCAAAUCCGGAAAAUCAAGGCUGAGGCGUGAUGACGAGGCACUACGGUGCUGAAGCAACAAAUGCCCUGCUUCCAGGAAAAGCCUCUAAGCAUCAGGUAACAUCAAAUCGUACCCCAAACCGACACAGGUGGUCAGGUAGAGAAUACCAAGGCGCUUGAGAGAACUCGGGUGAAGGAACUAGGCAAAAUGGUGCCGUAACUUCGGGAGAAGGCACGCUGAUAUGUAGGUGAAGUCCCUCGCGGAUGGAGCUGAAAUCAGUCGAAGAUACCAGCUGGCUGCAACUGUUUAUUAAAAACACAGCACUGUGCAAACACGAAAGUGGACGUAUACGGUGUGACGCCUGCCCGGUGCCGGAAGGUUAAUUGAUGGGGUUAGCGGUAACGCGAAGCUCUUGAUCGAAGCCCCGGUAAACGGCGGCCGUAACUAUAACGGUCCUAAGGUAGCGAAAUUCCUUGUCGGGUAAGUUCCGACCUGCACGAAUGGCGUAAUGAUGGCCAGGCUGUCUCCACCCGAGACUCAGUGAAAUUGAACUCGCUGUGAAGAUGCAGUGUACCCGCGGCAAGACGGAAAGACCCCGUGAACCUUUACUAUAGCUUGACACUGAACAUUGAGCCUUGAUGUGUAGGAUAGGUGGGAGGCUUUGAAGUGUGGACGCCAGUCUGCAUGGAGCCGACCUUGAAAUACCACCCUU
rnacentral:rRNA from 1 species